GGGGGCGUUCUGGAUUCGACGCCGGUUACAAAACCUGUAGUGCAUGCCGAGAUGGUGACCAAUCUCGUUAAUCCAAAGUCACAACCUUAUAGUUGCCAACGACGACAACUACGCACUAGCUGCUUAAAAACCAGUGUAGUGCCGUCUGACUGGAGCCGUGCUUAUGCGUCCAGAGUUUGAAGUCCUCUGGGAUUGAUAACAUUCAGGCGUCAUAUUUCAUAAGAUCGUAAUGAAACUUGUUCGGGGUCGAUUUACUAAACACUAACCGAAAUCGCUGGUGGCAUUUCCUGACAGUCGGGUUGCAAACGGUUAAAUUUAAUAGACUGCUCUAAGCAUGUAGAGCUAUUGGCAGAGGACUGACGGACGCGGGUUCAAUUCCCGCCGCCUCCACCA
rnacentral:tmRNA from 1 species